UCCUACGGGAGGCAGCAGUGGGGAAUAUUGUACAAUGGGAGAAAGCCUGAUCCAGCCAUCCAGGGUGUGUGACGAAAGAUUCGGAUUGUAAAGCUCUUUAAGUUGGGAGGAAGGGCAGUUACAUAAUACGUGGAUAGUGACGGACCGACAGAAUAGAUCCGUUUGGC
rnacentral:rRNA from 1 species